AUAACAUUCGGACCGUCGAUUUACUGAGCAACUACACUCGCUCUGUGGAAGAUCUCUUUAUUGUCAU
rnacentral:pre_miRNA from 1 species